AACAUUACUUGGGUGAUACUAAAGAUGAAUACUUCUCCAGCAUUAGUGACUGUGAUGCUGCUGUUCAUACUUGGAAAAACUAAUGGAGACUCAGUGACCCAGAAACAAGGUCAAGUGACUCUCUCAGAAGACGACUUCCUAUUUAUAAACUGCACUUAUUCAACUACACAGUACCCAUAUCUGUUCUGGUAUGUCCAAUAUCCUGGAGAAGGUCCAGAGCUGCUUUUGAAAGUCACAACAGCCAACAACAAGGGAAGCAACAGAGGUUUUGAAGCUACAUACAAUAAAGAAUCCACUUCCUUCCACUUACAGAAAGCCACUGUCAAAGUUUCAGACUCGGCUGUGUACUACUGUGCUCUGAGUGACACAGUGUCACAAACUACAGGGGGAGCUGAGCACAAACUCAGGGGAGCAAAAGAAAGUCUGAGGACAAAACUGGGGACAUUGCAGUGUAGAACAGGAAAGGUACUGAAGAUAGACUACCUGCUUCCCAGGAAUGUGUGGCCACCACAUUCCCACAAGGAGUGUUUCUACUGGCUUUUGACACCAAGCAAUGGCAGUGAUGGAGGAAAGGAAAUGCAGCCAGGUUCUGCUGAGUCCUCAGUGAAUGGAGCAAGGAUAUCUAUGGUGCAGUUUGAAGGGAAAUCAGCAGAGGGCACUGCCUCUGCAGAUGUGGUUAAGGUUUGCAUCCAGUUGGUGGCUUCACUUGACACAAUGUAA